CAUCUCAAUGACUUUGAAAGCAUCUCUUAUCUUCUUGCUGGCCUCGGAUCCGAUUAUGAUCCGUUUGUUACCUCAAUUAAAACUCGGCUGGAUCCUCUCUUCGCUGAUGAAAUCUAUGGUCAUCUUCUUAAUCUGGAUC